AGAUAACUUGCUUUAUACAGGUUACUUUGGGUUCAAAAGCUAAUGUACUUAAUCAACCUAAAAGCCAAUAGCAAGAAAGGUUGUCGUUUCUCGUGCUUCCUGUACAGAGAAAGUUAGCCACAGGUUAUAUCAAAGUGUAAACAGGGAUAAGGAGAGUGUAAAUUCAUGUCAACCAGUCGUGAAACAGAAUGGAUCUAGUUUCCGCUUCAAAACAGAAGAGCGGGCCA